rnacentral:rRNA from 1 species
GGACCUGCGGAGGGAUCAUUACCGAGUUUACAACUCCCAAACCCCUGUGAACAUACCUAUACGUUGCCUCGGCGGAUCAGCCCGCGCCCCGUAAAAAGGGACGGCCCGCCCGAGGACCCCUAAACUCUGUUUUUAGUGGAACUUUUGAGUAAAACAAACAAAUAAAUCAAAACUUUCAACAACGGAUCUAUUGGUUCUGGCAUCGAUGAAGAACGCAGCAAAAUGCGAUAAGUAAUGUGAAUUGCAGAAUUCAGUGAAUCAUGGAAUCUUUGAACGCACAUUGCGCCCGCCAGUAUUCUGGCGGGCAUGCCUGUUCGAGCGUCAUUUCAACCCUCAAGCUCAGCUUGGUGUUGGGACUCGCGGUAACCCGCGUUCCCCAAAUCGAUUGGCGGUCACGUCGAGCUUCCAUAGGGUAGUAAUCAUACACCUCGUUACUGGUAAUGGUCGCGGCCACGCCGUAAAACCCCAACUUUAGAAUGUGACCUCGGAUCAGGUAGA